AGCGAACGCUGGCGGCAGGCUUAACACAUGCAAGUCGAGCGGGCAUCCUUGUGGUGUCAGCGGCAGACGGGUGAGUAACGCGUGGGAACGUGCCCUUCGGUUCGGAACAACUCAGGGAAACUUGAGCUAAUACCGGAUACGUGCGAGAGCAGAAAGGUUUAUCUGCCGAAGGAUCGGCCCGCGUCUGAUUAGCUAGUUGGUGAGGUUAUGGCUCACCAAGGCGACGAUCAGUAGCUGGUCUGAGAGGAUGAUCAGCCACACUGGGACUGAGACACGGCCCAGACUCCUACGGGAGGCAGCAGUGGGGAAUAUUGGACAAUGGGGGCAACCCUGAUCCAGCCAUGCCGCGUGAGUGAUGACGGCCUUAGGGUUGUAAAGCUCUUUUCUCCGGGACGAUAAUGACGGUACCGGAGGAAUAAGCCCCGGCUAACUUCGUG
rnacentral:rRNA from 1 species